AAAAAAGACAGACCCUGGUUCCAGUGUCCAACGUUUGACCGUCCGUCUUAUUUAAAAAAAUUAUGAAAAAAAAUUAAAAAAAUAAGUCACGCAUAAAGUAUUAAUCAUGUUUUAUCAUCUAACAACAAUAAAAAUACUAAUUAUAAAAAAAAUUCAUAUAAGACGGGCGGUCAAAUGUUGGCACGGAAAUCUAGGGUUUGUCUUUUU
rfam:Oryza sativa Japonica Group DNA, chromosome 1, cultivar: Nipponbare, complete sequence.